GAUGAACGCUGGCGGCGUGCUUAACACAUGCAAGUCGAACGAUGAAAGCGGGAGCUUGCUCCUGCUGGAUUAGUGGCGAACGGGUGAGUAACACGUGAGCAAUCUGCCCCGAACUCUGGGAUAAGCGUUGGAAACGACGUCUAAUACCGGAUACGACGCGCGAAGGCAUCUUCUGCGCGUGGAAAGAAUUUCGGUUCGGGAUGAGCUCGCGGCCUAUCAGCUAGUUGGUGAGGUAACGGCUCACCAAGGCGACGACGGGUAGCCGGCCUGAGAGGGUGACCGGCCACACUGGGACUGAGACACGGCCCAGACUCCUACGGGAGGCAGCAGUGGGGAAUAUUGCACAAUGGGCGAAAGCCUGAUGCAGCAACGCCGCGUGAGGGACGACGGCCUUCGGGUUGUAAACCUCUUCUAGUAGGGAAGAAGCGAAAGUGACGGUACCUGCAGAAAAAGCACCGGCUAACUACGUGCCAGCCGCCGCGGUAAUAC
rnacentral:rRNA from 1 species